ensembl:snoRNA SNORD16 Small nucleolar RNA SNORD16
UGCUGUGAUGGUGUAAUUUGCGUCUUACUCUAUGCACAGCGACAGUUGCCUGCUGUCUCAUGCUGGCGUGGAAGGUUGACGAAUAUUAAGACUGAGCU